GGCGCUAUAGCUAAGUGGUUAAAGCGACAGAUUAGAAUUGUAACAAGUUCUACAAUCUGUUCCUCUUUGAGGGCGCAGGUUCAAAUCCUGCUGGCGUCG